AACUGCCAAUCAAGAACUGGCACUCGCAGCCUAAUUUAGGCUGAGACGUCGUUCCAUCUGAGGCCCGCGGGGGUGGAAUGGCGUGAUGCAGCGGGCUGGUCCAAGGUCGGUGCUCAGCGGCCGAGGAUGAGAAAAUUCUGGGCUAGUGGCCGUUCUAAGCCUGCCGACGGGCGUGGAUGGCUGCGAAACGUAAAUUGUCGGCUACACAUGUAGACACAGUGCACUGACGAUCUUCGGACAGGGGUUCAACUCCCCUCGCCUCCACCA
rnacentral:tmRNA from 1 species